ensembl:lncRNA
UGGGGAGUCUAGGAAUUAAGCAAUAGCUGCAUGGAUUCUUGCUCUGUCUUUAAAAUAAACACCUUUUUCCUUCUACAUUGAUGUCAGUAAUUGGCUUUCGGCAUGUUGGACAAGUAGGCCAUGUUUGGGGUUCUAAAACAACACUUCCAACUGGUUUGGGGGGUUGUUCUGCAAAAAUAUGAAAUGAUAAUAAAUUAAUAAUUAACAGAAUAUACUAAAAUGUUCAAAGGAGGUUAACAGACCAGAACAAAUAGAGUAAACAUUCACAUGGAUGAAAAAUUCAAGAGAAUAAUGUGAUCAUUUAGAGUAAAUGUUAAAAAACAUGUAAUAAAAUUCAUCAUUGGGCCAUAAACACACAACAACUAAUAGAAUAUUAGCAACUUCCACAUUCCGACUAAGAUUGUAUAAAAUGAACCUAUGGCAGCAUAAUUACUACAGAACAUUGCAAGCUUUUUUCCUGGGAACAGAUCUAGAUAAGUCCAUCUCUUCUCAUUGUUUCUUUCCAACUUCAUCUUGGAAGUAUAAUCAGGUAAAUAAAACAACAAAAAAGGAAAUAUUAGGUAUAAAUUUUUGAUGAACUUUUAAGCAACAAAAUUGUUAAUAUAUUGGAUGAUACUAUUGUAUACAGAGAAAAUACAACAUAAUCCCUAGGUAAAUAAAACUAAUAAGAGAAUUAAGCUUACUAGGUAUAAAAUAAAUACAUAAAAAUCAACUGGGUUACUAUGUACCAGCAAGAAACAAAUGGAAAACUUUUUAAAGGACAAAACACAGACUAGAAAUCAAAUGCUUAUAAGAGAAAUGAAACAAAAAACUAACCUACAUAAUGUUUUUAGUCUUAAAAUCAAUAUAAAAAAUUGUCAAACAACCUCAUAAAAUAAGCUAUGAAUACAAAGAAAAAGAAAGGCCCACAGUCCAGCCAACAUUUUGUAAAUUGUAGCUCAUGUGAAGCAGGUUACUGCAAGCGCAGGAUCACGAGAUCUCAGUAGGAUUGUGAUCACUGGAGGGAGGGAGAAAGAGGGGGGGAUCCAAGGAGGUGGGACCAUCGAGAGGGGAAAGUGCCUCCUACCGCCAGAAGAGUUGCCAUCUGAGAGAAGGAGGCAGCUUAAGUCCAAGCUUCUCCCCUCUCCAGGAAUAGUCGCAAGGAACCUUAACGGGAUUCUGAUUGGCUACACCUUUUCUGACGUCGUGCAUUCUUGCCUGUUGGGCAAAUUGUUCAAUCAAGGCGCCCAGGGGCAUCAUUGGGGAACCACGUGCGAUAUUAUUUUUUGGCACCGCUGUACUCAACUCCCCGGAUCUGCUCCAGAGAGAGGCCUUAGCUGGCUCCGUCGCUCUGCAAAUUUCGGUCAUCACAAGACCCCUCAAGAGGGCGCCUGGAUAUCACGGAAGCAAGGAAAUGAUCUUGCUGCUGCUGAGUGUGGGCACCAGAAGAUCAUGGAAAAACUCCACCUUGAGACUCUGACCCACACUGCUUGGCACCCAGGGCUUACCUCAUCGAUGAACAUGUACUCCCAUUUUGCCACUACUCAAGCUCUGUGGAGAAGUUCCACAGCCACCACUGCCUUCAGAAUGAAAUUAGAAAUGCUGAGGAACCACUGUCAUCACCAAGCCAAAGAAUAA